AAUCCAUGUUGUGGGCAUGAACUAACAAAAUCCUUGAACCGUUCACAACAUUUGAAGAAGGUUUCAUCUUCCCUUUGGGCGAAGUUCAUGAUUGACUUCCUUAUGGU